rnacentral:rRNA from 1 species
CCUACGGGUGGCAGCAGUGGGGAAUAUUGGGCAAUGGGCGCAAGCCUGACCCAGCAACGCCGCGUGAAGGAAGAAGGCUUUCGGGUUGUAAACUUCUUUUAAGAGGGAAGAGCAGAAGACGGUACCUCUUGAAUAAGCCACGGCUAACUACGUGCCAGCAGCCGCGGUAAUCCGUAGGUGGCAAGCGUUGUCCGGAUUUACUGGGUGUAAAGGGCUUGCAGCCGGGAAGACAAGGCAGAUGUGAAAUCCCGGGGGUCAACCGCGGAACUGCAUUUGAAACUGUUUUUCUUGAGUACCGGAGAGGUCAUCGGAAUGCCUUGUGUAGCGGUGAAAUGCGUAGAUAUAAGGAAGAACACCAGUGGCGAAGGCGGAUGACUGGACUGCAACUGACGGUGAGGCGCGAAAGCGUGGGGAGCAAACAGGAUUAGAUACCCUUGUAGUC